AUGGACCCAUCUCAGGGCAUGUGGCCUAACCCUAGCCGCCGCCUCCUCUCACACCCGCGUGGCCUCUCCGACCUGCUUCCUCUCCUCACCUCGCACCCCUCGCGCUGCCACCCUCCCAACCUCUCAUCUUCCAGCGCCUCCUCCCCGUCAGCUCGAUCUCUCCACUCCCAGCCGGUCAUCCUUCUCUUGCAUCGCCCGGAGGGGUGCAGCCGCCGCCGCUCGCAUUUGUUACUCCCCCUGCCCCCACCUUGCGAGCUCGCACAUCUGCUCCGCCCAGAGGCGUCGCCAUUGACCGCCGGAGGACCGUGCCGCAGCCAAACUCGAGGACAACCACUGCUAUGGCCCGUGGAGUUGCAAGUGGAAGCUGCGGCUUUUUCUUUAAUCGGCUUGUUGUCAUGCGUCCGUGGCUCCGUACAUGGCAAGGGUGAGAGUGAAUUUCAAACGGCUUAUGACAAAGGAAUGCCCAAAUCAAAGUUCUGGGAGCCUGCAUAUGAAGAUUGCUUAAAUAUGAUUGCUCUACCGCAUGAUCGGACGUUGCUGGUCGCCGGCUUGGCCUGCAAGAGGAUGCCCCCUGCUCUGACUUGUUCACAUCUUAGUGUUUCACCAAUGAAGAUGUAUUUUCAAGGUGUUAAGAGGAGGAGGAGGGGGGAGGUGCUAUUGCAGGCGAAGGAGGGGGUAGGAAACUGCUUGGGAGGAUACUUCAGCUCAGAGAAGGCAGCAGCAGCUCGUAGGAGCAAUGGAGGCGUGCUUCAUACAACAAAGAACCAGAGUCAUCGAUGCAGAGGAUCAUUAUCGCGUCCGCUGGCUGAGGGGCAAGCUGGGGCUGUAGUCCUUGAACAUAGUGGUUCUACUGUGAAGGCCUUGCAUUGGGACUCUGUGCCUCCUAAACUAACAACAAAUGAACUUGCCUUUAGGAUUUUUGCACUGCACUGUGCAUCCAGGUCCAACCCAAUGUACCUGGCAAAUGGCCAAUCGAGUAAAUGUGGGUUUGGUGCAUUGGCAAAGAAGACUAUGUACAACCUCUUCUUUUUGAAGCCCUCGGCCCCUCACGACCUGUUGAAGUUGAGGGCAGUAGCUCACACUGUGAGGGGCUUCAGCAACGGGGCCUAUUAUGCACAUGAUGGUGUGAUACUCUCCUGGGUAGAGCUCAUCCAUGGCUUGCGUGAGUAUCCCCAAAGGCGGGUGGUAUGGCAAGCCGCGGGGAGCUCAGGAUAG
rnacentral:rRNA from 1 species